GUCUACGGCUAUGCCACCCUGAAUAAGCCCGAUGUCUGAUCUUGGAAGCUAAGCAGGGAAACACCUGGUUGGUACUUGGAUGAGAGACCACCUAGGAAGAUCAGGUGCUGUAGGCA
rnacentral:rRNA from 1 species